rnacentral:tmRNA from 1 species
GGGGGCGACCUGGCUUCGACGUGGGUUACAAAGCAGUGUAGGGCAUACCGAGGACCCGCCACCUCGUAAAUCAGCUGGAAAACCAAUAGUCGCAAACGACGAAAAGUACGCUCUAGCCGCUUAACCGGUUAGACCUCACACCCCGCUGUCCGUGGAGGGGCUCGAUACCGCAAGGUUGAGAUGAGUGAGGUCAUUUACACGGAAUCGUGUCGUGCAGGGUUACUUUGCACGAAGCUAAAACCAAGGUGACUCGUCCUGUAGCAGCCUGUCGGUUGGCGUCUGCCGGAUAAAAUUAAAUAACCAGACUAAGUAUGUAGAACUGCCUGUAGAGGACUUGCGGACGGGGGUUCAAUUCCCCCCGCCUCCACCA